rnacentral:rRNA from 1 species
UGAGGAAUAUUGGUCAAUGGGCGCAAGCCUGAACCAGCCAUCCCGCGUGCAGGAAGACGGCCCUAUGGGUUGUAAACUGCUUUUCCAGGGAGAGAAACUUGCGUACGCGUUGCGCAAUUGACGGUACCCUGGGAAUAAGCAUCGGCUAACUCCGUGCCAGCAGCCGCGGUAAUACGGAGGAUGCGAGCGUUAUCCGGAUUUAUUGGGUUUAAAGGGUGCGUAGGCGGAUUAAUAAGUCAGUGGUGAAAACCUGCAGCUUAACUGUGGAACUGCCGUUGAUACUGUUAGUCUUGAGUAUGGUCAAGGUAGGCGGAAUGUGUAAUGUAGCGGUGAAAUGCUUAGAUAUGACACAGAACACCGAUUGCGAAGGCAGCUCACUAAACUGUAACUGACGCUGAGGCACGAAAGCGUGGGGAGCAAACA